AUUGAACGCUGGCGGCAGGCCUAACACAUGCAAGUCGAGCGAGCGGCGGACGGGUGAGUAAUGUAUGGGGACUGCCCGAUAGAGGGGGAUAACUACUGGAAACGGUGGCUAAUACCGCAUACUAUCGGAUAACCCAUAUGGGAUUAGCUAGUAGGUGGGGUAAAGGCUCACUUAGGCGACGAUCUCUAGCGGGUCUGAGAGGAUGAUGAGCCACACUGGGACUGAAACACGGCCCAGACUCGUGCGGAGGCAGCAGUGGGGAAUGUUGCACAAUGGGCGCGAGCCUGAUGCAGCCAUGCGGAGUGUAGGAAGAAGACCUUAGGGUUGUAAAGUACUUUCAGCGGGGAGGCGUUACCCGCAGAAGGAGCACCGGCUAACUCCGUGCCAGCAGCCGCGGUAAUUC
rnacentral:rRNA from 1 species